CAUCAAGGAAACUCAAUAGAUGGCUAUUUCAGUGGAGAUUAUACCAGAGAUGUUGUUUUGAAAGUAUAUGCCAGGAGAGAAAGAUAUACUUGAAACCCGAUGAGGUCAAUGAUGUGGAGAUUUUACCAGAGAUGUUGUUUUCAAGUAAGAUUUUGUGUGAGAUUAUACCGAUCGCACCAGCACGCCACAUUGUUGCUCCACGGCAAAGGCAGCGAGCGACUGGCUGGCUGCUGCUGGCUUGUACGUGUGGAAGGCAGUUGUUCACGGCAGACCAGUGAGCGGCGGCGGGUGGGCGCGACCACAUGGUGGUUGGAAGGUAGGC